rnacentral:rRNA from 1 species
UGGGGAAUUUUGCACAAUGGGCGCAAGCCUGAUGCAGCCAUGCCGCGUGUGUGAAGAAGGCCUUCGGGUUGUAAAGCACUUUCAGCGGGGAGGAAGGCGAUAAGGUUAAUAACCUCAUCGAUUGACGUUACCCGCAGAAGAAGCACCGGCUAACUCCGUGCCAGCAGCCGCGGUAAUACGGAGGGUGCAAGCGUUAAUCGGAAUUACUGGGCGUAAAGCGCACGCAGGCGGUCUGUCAAGUCGGAUGUGAAAUCCCCGGGCUCAACCUGGGAACUGCAUUCGAAACUGGCAGGCUAGAGGCUUGUAGAGGGGGGUAGAAUUCCAGGUGUAGCGGUGAAAUGCGUAGAGAUCUGGAGGAAUACCGGUGGCGAAGGCGGCCCCCUGGACAAAGACUGACGCUCAGGUGCGAAAGCGUGGGGAGCAAACAGG